CCCCCGGGGGUCCCGGGCGCUGUGUGCCUCCAGCAAGGCUCCUAGGAGGAGCUCCUGCCUGCUUCCGGAAGGGAGACUGGGUUGGCCGCUGUGGGGCCAGACGCAGGGGACCAGGAAUGAGCUCUGGGAAUGGUGACAGACUGACCGCUGACCCGGCCUGACCCUGGGUUCUGCCGGCGACUGGAGCCGACAACCACCACCCCACGUGGGGACCACCGAGGCUGCCCUCGGUCUGUAGUUCUCAUGGGACUCCCCUUGACAGAACCCCCCACCCAGGUCUCUGGUCGCUGGUCCAUGAAUAACAACACCUCUAAAAAACUUCCUAUGUAGACACUUACUUAUUUGAAAGAGAGAGAGCGCGCCAGAGAGACAGAUCUCUCAGCUGGCUAGCUCCCCCAGAUAGCUGAAGUGGCCAGCGCUGGGCCAGGCCAAAGCCAGGAGCCAGGAGCUAGAUCCAGAUCCCCGAUGUGGGUGCAGGGGCCCCAGCGCUUGGCCUAUCCUCCCCUGCUUUCCCAGGCCAUAGCAGAGAGCUGCACUGGAAGUGGAGCAGCCAGGACUCGAACCAGCACCCAUGUGGUAUGCGAGCAGCUUUACCUGCUACAGGACAGUACCUGCUGGGUUACAGCCCUACUGAUGGUUGGGUUACAGCCCUACUGAUGGUUGGGUUACAGCCCUACUGAUGGUUGGGUUACAGCCCUACUGACGGUUCCUUGAACGCAAGCGUGCUAAGGCACACAGCUCUUCAAGUUCUCCCCCGAUCUCCCCCUGCCCCCAAGAAUGUGUGGGUCCUCUGCCAGAAGCCGGUGGCUUUGGUGGGGUUGCACACGGCCACAGGGGGCUGCUGUGUCUUCGCCCCCUCAUCCCUGCUGGCAGAGCCCGCCUGCUCCCAGCGUCCACCCGACGUGAGGCUCUGGGAAGUUGCCCAAGACACGGCGUCACACCGGAAAGACAGGGUCUGGACCAUUGGCCAGGCCUGCCCCUGCCCCCACCUGGAGUUCUCUUAGGAGACAAUAGAGCCUUUGUUUGCGCCAGGUGGGUGGGUUGGCGCUGUCACCCACAGGUGUCAGCGUCCUAACUUGAAGACUGGGGAAAGACAUCAGCACUGGCUCCAUGGAAGGAAGCGGAAGGCCAAGGCCGGGCACCGACAGAUGGGGAGUGGGCCGCGUUUCUCUGUAACCCAGAACUUGUGAUCAGUGUGAACUCCCAAACGUGGUCUCCCAGCCGGCAUGGACAGCAGCGCUGCCAGCCCCCGAGGCUGCUGGCUUGUGUCCCCUCUGACACUGGAGCCAUGUCUCUUCAAAGUCCUUCCUGGG